GACGAACGCUGGCGGCGUGCUUAACACAUGCAAGUCGAACGGAAAGGCCCUGCUUUUGUGGGGUGCUCGAGUGGCGAACGGGUGAGUAACACGUGAGUAACCUGCCCUUGACUUUGGGAUAACUUCAGGAAACUGGGGCUAAUACCGGAUAGGAGCUCCUGCUGCAUGGUGGGGGUUGGAAAGUUUCGGCGGUUGGGGAUGGACUCGCGGCUUAUCAGCUUGUUGGUGGGGUAGUGGCUUACCAAGGCUUUGACGGGUAGCCGGCCUGAGAGGGUGACCGGCCACAUUGGGACUGAGAUACGGCCCAGACUCCUACGGGAGGCAGCAGUGGGGAAUAUUGCACAAUGGGCGGAAGCCUGAUGCAGCAACGCCGCGUGCGGGAUGACGGCCUUCGGGUUGUAAACCGCUUUCGCCUGUGACGAAGCGUGAGUGACGGUAAUGGGUAAAGAAGCACCGGCUAACUACGUGCCAGCAGCCGCGGUGAUACGUAGGGUGCGAGCGUUGUCCGGAUUUAUUGGGCGUAAAGGGCUCGUAGGUGGUUGAUCGCGUCGGAAGUGUAAUCUUGGGGCUUAACCCUGAGCGUGCUUUCGAUACGGGUUGACUUGAGGAAGGUAGGGGAGAAUGGAAUUCCUGGUGGAGCGGUGGAAUGCGCAGAUAUCAGGAGGAACACCAGUGGCGAAGGCGGUUCUCUGGGCCUUUCCUGACGCUGAGGAGCGAAAGCGUGGGGAGCGAACAGGCUUAGAUACCCUGGUAGUCCACGCUGUAAACGGUGGGUACUAGGUGUGGGGUCCAUUCCACGGGUUCCGUGCCGUAGCUAACGCUUUAAGUACCCCGCCUGGGGAGUACGGCCGCAAGGCUAAAACUCAAAGGAAUUGACGGGGCCCCGCACAAGCGGCGGAGCAUGCGGAUUAAUUCGAUGCAACGCGUAGAACCUUACCUGGGUUUGACAUGGAUCGGGAGCGCUCAGAGAUGGGUGUGCCUCUUUUGGGGUCGGUUCACAGGUGGUGCAUGGCUGUCGUCAGCUCGUGUCGUGAGAUGUUGGGUUAAGUCCCGCAACGAGCGCAACCCUUGUUCACUGUUGCCAGCACGUUAUGGUGGGGACUCAGUGGAGACCGCCGGGGUCAACUCGGAGGAGGGUGGGGAUGACGUCAAGUCAUCAUGCUCCUUAUGUCCAGGGCUUCACGCAUGCUACAAUGGCUGGUACAGAGAGUGGCGAGCCUGUGAGGGUGAGCGAAUCUCGGAAAGCCGGUCUCAGUUCGGAUUGGGGUCUGCAACUCGACCUCAUGAAGUCGGAGUCGCUAGUAAUCGCAGAUCAGCAACGCUGCGGUGAAUACGUUCCCGGGGCU
rnacentral:rRNA from 1 species